UACGAAGGGGGCUAGCGUUGUUCGGAAUUACUGGGCGUAAAGCGCGCGCAGGCGGUUCUUUAAGUCAGGGGUGAAAGCCCAGAGCUCAACUCUGGAAUUGCCUUCGAUACUGAGGAUCUCGAGACCGGAAGAGGUGAGUGGAACUGCGAGUGUAGAGGUGAAAUUCGUAGAUAUUCGCAAGAACACCAGUGGCGAAGGCGGCUCACUGGUCCGGUUCUGACGCUGAGGCGCGAAAGCUAGGGUAGCAAACGGG
rnacentral:rRNA from 1 species